rnacentral:rRNA from 1 species
UACGUAGGGUGCGAGCGUUAAUCGGAAUUACUGGGCGUAAAGCGUGCGCAGGCGGUUGUGCAAGACAGAUGUGAAAUCCCCGGGCUUAACCUGGGAAUGGCAUUGGUGACUGCACGGCUAGAGUGUGUCAGAGGGGGGUAGAAUUCCACGUGUAGCAGUGAAAUGCGCAGAGAUGUGGAGGAAUACCGAUGGCGAAGGCAGCCCCCUGGGAUAACACUGACGCUCAUGCACGAAAGCGUGGGGAGCAAACAGG